rnacentral:rRNA from 1 species
CAAAGGCUUGGUCCUGACUUUACUAUCAGCUCUAACUGAACUUACACAUGCAAGUCUCCGCAUUCCUGUGAGGAUGCCCUUAAUCCCCUGCCCGGGGACGAGGAGCCGGUAUCAGGCACGCCCAGGCAGCCCACGACGCCUUGCUAAGCCACACCCCCAAGGAAACUCAGCAGUGAUAAAUAUUAAGCCAUAAGCGAAAGCUUGACUUAGUUAAGGUUAAGAGGGCCGGUAAAACUCGUGCCAGCCACCGCGGUUAUACGAGAGGCCCUAGUUGAUAACUACCGGCGUAAAGAGUGGUUAUGGAAGAUACUUGAUAAAGCCGAACACUCCCUCAGCCGUCAUACGCACCUGGAAGCACGAAGACCUACUGCGAAAGCAGCUUUAAUUAUGCCUGACCCCACGACAGCUAAGAAACA